CAGUCGCCACGGUAAAACGUAGGGUCCGAGCGUUGUCCGGAAUUACUGGGCGUAAAGCGCGCGUAGGUGGUUCAUUAAGUUGGAUGUGAAAGCCCUGGGCUCAACCUGGGAACUGCAUCCAAAACUGGUGAGCUAGAGUACGGUAGAGGGUAGUGGAAUUUCCUGUGUAGCGGUGAAAUGCGUAGAUAUAGGAAGGAACACCAGUGGCGAAGGCGACUACCUGGACUGAUACUGACACUGAGGUGCGAAAGCGUGGGGAGCAAACAGGAUUAGAUACCCCCGUAGUCCCUGUCUCUUAUAC
rnacentral:rRNA from 1 species